CAAAUUACAUUUAAACGUACUGAAAAUAUUUGUAAAACAUAAAUACAAACAAGACAAAGCAACAAACUUCUGUCCUUCUGUCCUGUCUUUGCAAAGCCAGUUGUUAUAGCUCUGGAAAGUUGUGACCUUUUUCACUGGUAAAAAAAUCUUGAUUCUCCCCCAAGCAUGCUACAAAUCUAUUCAGUACCUGGCCACAACUGAGCCAAGGAAUAUUAUUA